rnacentral:rRNA from 1 species
GGACGUAUCAGAAGUGCGAAUGCUGACAUAAGUAACGAUAAAACGGGUGAAAAACCCGUUCGCCGGAAGACCAAGGGUUCCUGUCCAACGUUAAUCGGGGCAGGGUGAGUCGGCCCCUAAGGCGAGGCUGAAAAGCGUAGUCGAUGGGAAACGGGUUAAUAUUCCCGUACUUGGAUAAACUGCGAUGUGGGGACGGAGCAGGUUAGGUUAUCGCACUGUUGGAUAUGUGCGUUUAAGUUUGUAGGUGUGAAGUUUAGGCAAAUCCGGACUUCUAUAACACUGAGAGAUGAUGACGAGGCUCUACGGAGCUGAAGUAACCGAUACCACACUUCCAGGAAAAGCCACUAAGCUUCAGGUUUAUCUAAACCGUACUGAAAACCGACACAGGUGGUCAGGUAGAGAAUACUCAGGCGCUUGAGAGAACUCGGGUGAAGGAACUAGGCAAAAUAGCACCGUAACUUCGGGAGAAGGUGCGCCGGCGUAGAUUGUAGUCCCUUGCGGGCGAAGGUUGAACCGGUCGAAGAUACCAGCUGGCUGCAACUGUUUAUUAAAAACACAGCACUCUGCAAACACGAAAGUGGACGUAUAGGGUGUGAUGCCUGCCCGGUGCUGGAAGGUUAAUUGAUGGUGUAAUCGAAAGAGAAGCUCCUGAUCGAAGCCCCAGUAAACGGCGGCCGUAACUAUAACGGUCCUAAGGUAGCGAAAUUCCUUGUCGGGUAAGUUCCGACCUGCACGAAUGGCAUAAUGAUGGCCAGGCUGUCUCCACCCGAGACUCAGUGAAAUUGAAAUCGCCGUGAAGAUGCGGUGUACCCGCGGCUAGACGGAAAGACCCCGUGAACCUUUACUAUAGCUUGACACUGAACAUUGAAUUUUGAUGUGUAGGAUAGGUGGGAGCCUUUGAAGCAGUCACGCCAGUGAUUGUGGAGGCGUCCUUGAAAUACCACCCUUUAACGUUUGAUGUUCUAACGAAGAUUACGAAACGUGGUCUCGGACAGUGUCUGGUGGGUAGUUUGACUGGGGCGGUCUCCUCCCAAAGAGUAACGGAGGAGCACGAAGGUUUGCUAAUGACGGUCGGACAUCGUCAGGUUAGUGCAAUGGUAUAAGCAAGCUUAACUGCGAGACAGACAAGUCGAGCAGGUACGAAAGUAGGUCAUAGUGAUCCGGUGGUUCUGAAUGGAAGGGCCAUCGCUCAACGGAUAAAAGGUACUCCGGGGAUAACAGGCUGAUACCGCCCAAGAGUUCAUAUCGACGGCGGUGUUUGGCACCUCGAUGUCGGCUCAUCACAUCCUGGGGCUGAAGUAGGUCCCAAGGGUAUGGCUGUUCGCCAUUUAAAGUGGUACGCGAGCUGGGUUUAGAACGUCGUGAGACAGUUCGGUCCCUAUCUGCCGUGGGCGUUGGAGAAUUGGAAGGGGCUGCUCCUAGUACGAGAGGACCGGAGUGGACGCACCACUGGUGUUCCGGUUGUGUCGCCAGACGCAUUGCCGGGUAGCUAAGUGCGGAAGAGAUAAGUGCUGAAAGCAUCUAAGCACGAAACUUGCCAAGAGAUGAGUUCUCCCUGUCUUUAAGACAGUAAGGGUUGUUUAAGACUAAGACGUAGAUAGGUCUGGUGUGUAAGCGGUGCGAGCCGUUGAGCUAACAGAUACUAAUUGCCCGAGAGGCUUAACU